AUUUAAACAAAAAAACAAAAGAACUGCAGAUUUUUCUGCAAAAUUUCAAUUCUGCCGCUAAAAAAAAAAAAACUGCAGAAUUUCAGAUCUGCUGCUGGAGUAAAAAAAAAUAAAAAGAGGCAGAUUUGGUGUGACACAACCAGGGUUCACUACACAUCCUAAAUUAUUGAAUUCUUAUCUAGGCUUUUGCUUCUUUACUAUUUCGUUUGCUUCACAACAAUAACCCUCCCAUGAAGAGUUCGAAUAUGAGCAGGAUGAGGAAGAUGAGAAUAAUGAUGAUCGAGCUUCGAUCAUAAAUGAAGGCAGAUUUUAUCAGAGGAGAGAA
rnacentral:misc_RNA from 1 species